rnacentral:rRNA from 1 species
AACGAACGCUGGCGGCAGGCUUAACACAUGCAAGUCGAACGGGUGUAGCAAUACACCAGUGGCAGACGGGUGAGUAACACGUGGGAACCUUCCUAGGGGUACGGAUCAACUCAGGGAAACUUGAGCUAAUACCGUAUACGUCCGUGAGGAGAAAGAUUUAUCGCCCUUAGACGGGCCCGCGUCGGAUUAGCUAGUUGGUGGGGUAACGGCCUACCAAGGCGACGAUCCGUAGCUGAUCUUAGAGGAUGAUCAGCCACACUGGGACUGAGACACGGCCCAGACUCCUACGGGAGGCAGCAGUGGGGAAUCUUGGACAAUGGGCGCAAGCCUGAUCCAGCCAUGCCGCGUGAGUGAAGAAGGUCUUCGGAUUGUAAAGCUCUUUUGCCAGGGACGAUAAUGACGGUACCUGGAGAAUAAGCCCCGGCAAACUUCGUGCCAGCCGCCGCGGUAAAAC